ACCAGCAUGCAACUGACACUGAGGCACGAAAGCGUGGGUAUCAAACAGGAUUAGAUACCCUGGUAGUCCACGCAGUAAACGAUGAAUACUAGCUGUUGGCGAUAUAUGGUCAGCGGUACAGCGAAAGUGUUAAGUAUUCCACCUGGGGAGUACGCCGGCAACGGUGAAACUCAAAGGAAUUGACGGGGGCCCGCACAAGCGGAGGAACAUGUGGUUUAAUUCGAUGAUACGCGAGGAACCUUACCCGGGCUUGAAAGUUAGUGACGGCGGAUGAAAGUCUGCUUCCCUUCGGGGCACGAAACUAGGUGCUGCAUGGUUGUCGUCAGCUCGUGCCGUGAGGUGUCGGCUUAAGUGCCAUAACGAGCGCAACCCUUGCCGUUAGUUGCCAGCGGGUAAUGCCGGGAACUCUAGCGGGACUGCUACUGUAAGGUAGAGGAAGGUGGGGAUGACGUCAAAUCAGCACGGCCCUUACGUCCGGGGCGACACACGUGACGGGCGGUGUGUACAAGAGGGUUGCUACGUGGUGACAAGAUGCUAAUCUACUAAAACUCAUCUCAGUUCGGAUCGGAGUGGACAACUCGAGUCCGCGAAGCUGGAAAG
rnacentral:rRNA from 1 species